ACCUGGCUGGCUCAGUCAGUGGAGCAUGCGACCCUUAAUCACAGGGUUGUGAGUUCGAGCUCAUGUUGGGUG
rnacentral:tRNA from 1 species